AUUGAACGCUGGCGGCAGGCCUAACACAUGCAAGUCGAGCGGUAACACAGGGAGCUUGCUCCCGGGUGACGAGCGGCGGACGGGUGAGUAAUGUCUGGGAAACUGCCUGAUGGAGGGGGAUAACUACUGGAAACGGUAGCUAAUACCGCAUAACGUCGCAAGACCAAAGAGGGGGACCUUCGGGCCUCUUGCCAUCAGAUGUGCCCAGAUGGGAUUAGCUAGUAGGUGGGGUAAUGGCUCACCUAGGCGACGAUCCCUAGCUGGGCUGCGAGGAUGACCAGCCACACUGGAACUGAGACACGGUCCAGACUCCUACGGGAGGCAGCAGUGGGGAAUAUUGCACAAUGGGCGCAAGCCUGAUGCAGCCAAGGCGCGUGUAUGAAGAAGGCCUUCGGGUUGUAAAGUACUUUCAGCGGGGAGGAAGGUGCUGAGGUUAAUAACCUCAGCCAUUGACGUUACCCGCAGAAGAAGCACCGGCUAACUCCGUGCCAGCCGCCGCCGUAAGAC
rnacentral:rRNA from 1 species